CCUGGAAGUGGAAAAACGCCGUUUCCCAAAAGCCUGUGGAAGAGCAAAGGGAGGCUGGCGCUCGGAGACUGGAAAGAUGCAGGGAAGAGCCAGGGAAACACGCUCCUAUCCUCACUCUGCUAAUUACACUCAUUAGGGAAGGAAUACUGCCUCCGAUUGGGAGCCCUACCAGCUCCUUUUCAUUUCCCUGCCUGCCGAAAGCACACACCGGAGCGCUCGGGAGUUGGGUUCUCUCCUGGAAAUGGGCAUUUCUCCUCCCAGGUCAGAGGCUCUUUUGUGUCUGCCUGGCUGGGAGACGGGGCUGAAGACAAAGCAGAAAGGGAGAAAGCGGGAGAGAGGCGGGAUGGGGCGAGCCGGCAUCCCUGCGCCGGGGGGACCGGGUGCCUCGGCGGUGGGCUGUGCCGGGAAUGGGAAGCGGAGCAGCGGGAAUGCAGCCGUGUGCACGGCUCAAUGGGGAGGUAAUUUAUGCACUAACCUCAGCUCGGGGUUGUGGGGAGGCCUCUUCCCAUCGCCCCUUCCACCCGCCUCCUCCCGCCCUGCAGCCACACACAGCCACACAACCCCCUUCGCAAUUGGGAAGACACCUAUUGAGCACCGCUCUGGCAUUGCUGGGCUUUUGUUCCUCCUCCUCCUCUGCUGCCCAAGCUGCUCCUUCCCUCCGCACCGGCUGCCUUAAGUUGCUUGCCAUGAUCUCCACCAAAGAAUCGCCGUCCCGCUGACGUCCCGCGGUGGAGGCGGCGGGAGGAGAGACACAGGAGAGCAAAAGGAGGAGGAAAAAGAAGUGCUCCCAAGCCUCUCCUCCUGCUCCAGGUGAUGCCCCAGUUCACCUUUGCUUGUUUCUGCGGGCUCCAUGGCUUCUGCAAGAUGAAGAGGAAGAAGGAAGAGUCCAGUGCGCAGCAGGAGACCGCAGUGUGAGGAGCAGGCUCCUGUGUGCAUCCCACCGAGCCGUGCCUUGGGACCCCAUCCCCUUCCCCUUGAUUUUUGUGUGGCCAAAAGCAUGGGAAGGACCUUGCCGAGAGGCAGAAGCGGAUGCUGUGGGUGUUAUCCAUGUGCUGCACCAUCGGCACCUGAGCAGUCAGUGAUGGAAGGACUCUGUGUCCCAGCGGGGUAGAGACUUCCCUCCUGAGCAAGCCAACCUGCCCUUGCCCCAACAAGUCCCAACAGACAGACCUGGAGGGGUUUUCAAAAGCCGGGGCCAGACCUUGUCCUUCCUGGAGUCCUAUUGCUGCAGAGGCUGGCCCCUGGCUGGUAAGUUGUCCCGCUGCUGCAGAAAUGGCUGAACACCAAAACCAAGCUGGUUUGGGGUUGGUUUGUGUUUUAAAGCAAGUGUCUGGGACCCCAAGAAGCCGUUCUCCGUGUCCUGCCCUGCCUGGUCCCAUGGGUGCAGCACCCUGCAGUGCUUCGGAGGCACCAGACACACCAAACCUGCUCGGACACUGCUCCUUGUGUGACCAGGGAGGACCAGGAGCUCCCACAGCACAGAUGGGGGACACCUUGGUGUGCAUCCCUGAGCCAUGAGGCUCAGCAGGAGCUUGCUCUUCUUUGGCAAACAGGCCAAAAUCCCUGAGCUCAGAGCACCGGAGAUUCCCUCCAGGGACAUUUCUACCACAAAUACAUCCUCCAGAGCAGAAAUCCUUAAACUCUUCCAUACUGUGCUUCCUUUCUCCAUACGGAGACCAUGACGCCAAAAGCAAUGCCCGGGGCUUUUGAUCCUGCUCCUGCAGGAGCCAAGUGCUCUCCUUAUGCCAUGUGGCCAUCCCCAUGUCCCCCUUCCUUCCCAACCUUGUCCACGCGUUCUUCCCACCCAUCAUUGAAGCCAUAUGGAGCCGCCGGUGUUGUGCCUUCCCGGAGGCAUCUCAGACAGAUAUCCCUUCUCAGAUCCCUCCACAAGGGGGGAGGCUGCUGGGUCCAGGGAGCUGAGGCCCCUCAGGGUUUGGGGGCUGCUGCUUGGGUCCCAGUGCCUGGGUCCCCAUCCUUGAAUGCACCCAGCAUUGGAGAUGCUCCCACUGCAAGAUGUGCUGGAAAGGACAGCCCUUAGGAAAGGGGAAUGCUCCGGAGCAGCCGUGCUGGGGCUAUCAGCACAAGGGGGGAUUGACUUGAGCAGACUGGCACCCCUGAGGAGCCCCCUCCAUGUGGGAUGAGAACAAAUCCUCCCUGUGAUUAAGUGGCUCGACCUUUGCAGGGUUUGCCCAGUGCUCCCAGAACAGCCUCAUCCUCAGCAAACAGAGCUGUACGUGCUGCUGACAGCUCCCCUUUGGAGACGUGUUGCCUCAGCCAACAUCCAGAACCAACACGGUCAUUGCUUUAUUUUCUUAUCCAAGGGAUUUAGCACAAACCCCUGAUCCUGGCCAGGAGCACCACUAACACCAGAGCUUUACAUCCUCUCUGCUGGGUGCCCAGUGCCCAGGUUCUGGUGGGAAGCAGCUGACCGGGGUGGGAUGUGAUGCUUGGAGCCAGCCGGGACCAGGCACAGGGCAUGGACCACGCGUGGUCUCUGUGUGCCAGACCCCGGGGUCGGGGUGCUGGGGACACUUUCCUUGUUCCCCUCUUUAAGCCCAAGGGAUGAGAUCCAGCAGUGCAGCCCCUGGGCAGUGUUCCCAGCCUGGUAUUUCCCAGCUGGGCUCCAGGUUUUGGCAUGGGAGAAGGCACAGGAUAGGAUGUGAGGUGCCCUGCGAGGGGUCCUGUCAUUUGUCACCACUGAGCUCAGCAGGUUUCAGCCUGGCACACACAGAGCAGAGUGUGUCACGCUGCGGUUAGUGCCGCUGUAACGUCUCCUCUGAGACUUCAUCAGCCUUUUACUUGUACAAGAUGCUUUGCUGAGGACUGAGGGUGGCUGAGGUUAACGCUGAUGCACCCACAUCUGGACGGUGCGGGAUGGGAUGAUGCUUCCUGGUUGUGGUGGGAGUCCCCUGGGCUGGGCUGGAUGAGCUGGAAACAUGCCGUGUGUGCUGUGCAUAUGUUGUGCAUGAUGCACAUGCUUCUCCAGGGUGCACGCACAGUGCACACGCUGUGCACACGCUAUGCACAUGCUGCACAUGCCAUUUGUGAGUGUGGCAGCAGCUCUGAGCCUGUUCAGGUUUUCUGUGUCCCAAAUAUUCCUGUCUCCAGCGAGAGGUUCCCAAGCUGGAUAAAUGAAUGUAGCAUGUAAAACUGAGACAGGCACCACUCACCCGCACCCAUUCCAUGUGCAUGGAACACAUCCCAUGUGCGGUGUGCGUGUUAAAGCACUGGAGCUACAGUUAUUUUCCCACCUCCCUGGAUGGAUGUAGCUCUCAAAGCAACAAUAUGUUUUCCACCAUGGCUCCGAGCAAAAUGGUUUGCUCCUGGGUUGACCUCUAUUGUGUUCAUAAAUGGCUUGUGGCGCUUUUUGAUUCCUCCAUCAUAAUGACUUGACCUCUGGAUUGAUGGCUGAAGGUCCUUUCAUCUCCGCAUUGUUUCCCACCAGCCUCCAGCCUUUUCUGUAGCAAACCUGCCUGGAGCCGAGCCCCAUCCCACUCACUUCCACGGAUCCACAGUGGGCAAACGGGGUUUUUCCUCUCUUCCCAGUGGCAGCAUUUGAACAGGGCAGCGUCUGCUUCCGAGCCUGCGAAGGCUGGGAUAUGACAGCUCUUGUCACAGUACAAACACUCUGUCUCCUUCUCUCUCCCCACAUUCACACUCCCCGGCAUUCUCAUUAGUGAAGUCUGCUCGUUGCUCAGGGUUUCCUUUGCCCUCCCCAGUGACACACAACCUGCCUUUGACUCUUCCACCCCACUUUGGCUUCUCUGCUCCAGAAGCGACCGGACCUGAGUGAUGCUGUAGUUGAUAAAUCUUACUCAUGUCAGUAGUGAUGAGCUAUGAGCUGGAGUUGUCCAUCCAGUGGUUUCCAAGUGCUUUUCCAAGGCUUUUCCUUGGACCCCCAUGGCCGAGCAGUGAACCUGAAAUUGAAGCUAUUGCUGGUGGCAUCUUUGGGGUGAAGGGUGCCUUAAAGUGUGUGAGGUGCAACUUGCCCUCUCCGUUACUCUGCAAGCCCCCCGUUACAGCACGAGCCUAACCUGCGCUGUGGGUUCCCAGGGUUCGUGGAGGGAGCCUCCUACUCUGUCUCUCCUCAGGAAAAUGAAAGAUGAGUUUGUUCCCACCAGCAAUAAUCCUUUAUUAAUCCUAUUACACUAAGGAAAGCAUCCGACUUCCCUGGGAGCGGAUGGUGGGAUGCAGGGAGGAGGGAGGCUGCUCUCGCCCUGGCCAGGUCCCUGCUGGGGCUUUGGGGUGAGUGUCCCAUGGCUCGGCCCCUUCCCGUGCACCCCAAGCAAGGAGUGAAGCUGGGAGCAGCCAGUGACACCCCUGCACCAGCCCUGGGGAUGGAGAGGUGAUGAGGAGCUGCCUAUAGCAAGGGAUCAGGGUCUGGAGAAAUCAGUUCUAAUGAUGAAAACAAGCAGAGCAUCCCCUCGGGCUCACUUCCAAGAGAGGCAGCGAAGCCCCUUUGCAAAUAUGGGCUUCCUUGGGAGCGGAGGGAGCCUACAGAUGUUUAUUUGCAUGACAAUAGGCGGGUUGGGGACCAGGACGUGUGCGUGGGGCGCAGGGCACAGCCGGGCUGUGCUGGAGGUGGCCCUGCCAGGGGAGCUGGUGCUGCCUUAGAGAUGAAGCAAUGUUUGUGCAGUGAACUGGAAGGGAAUGCCACCAAUUGGAGGGGGCGAGCUAAGGGGAAAACUGCAGCUUGAACUCUUGUCUUGUAACACAUCCUGAAGGGUUUUGCUGGAGAGGACGAGGGGAAUGGCUUUAACCUGCCAGAGGGGAGACUGAGAUGAGCUCUGAGGCAGAAGCUCUUCCCUGUGAGGGUGCUGAGGCGCUGGCACAGGGUGCCCAGAGAAGCUGUGGCUGCCCCAUCCCUGGCAGUGUUCAAGGCCAGGUUGGACACAGGGGCUUGGAGCAACCUGCUCUAGUGGAAGGUGUCCCUGCCCGUGGCAGGGGUUGGAGCUGGAGGAGCUUUAAGGUCCCUUCCAACCCAAACCAGGCUGGGAUUCUAUGAUCCUAUGAAAUAACCAAGGCUAUCCUGAGGCAGGCACUGCAGCAGGAUGGACAGCUUCCACCGAACACCCCACAAGCAUCAGCUUGGCAUCGCGCAUUGUGUUUAAGUGCUGUGUCUGCACAGGCAGGGCUAUUUCUGCACCCCAGGUGGUAGCCAAGAGAACAAGACAAAACCACCUUCCUCCCUCCCGCAGGCAGGAUGCUCUUCCAGCUGCUCCAUGUUCCUGUGCUGACCCGCUGCUCUCCUGCGAUUGCAUGGAGAAAUAUCUCAGGCAGCCUCCUAAAGCCUUCAGUUCAUGGCUGGGCUUGAUCCACCCUUUGCAUCCUUCUUCCCACAGCUCAGAACACAACCACUGCCCCAAAACACCAGGUUUGUCAGGCUGUUGUUACUCAGAGGACAAUGAACAAGCAGUUUCAGGCAGCCCCAGGUGGGCAUAGGCAAGCUCAACGUUGUUUAGGAAAGAUGCUGACCUUGGUCUGUUCCUAUUUUUGCACAUCAGCACAGCCUCCUGGACCCAGGGAUCCAGCCCCGGGGCUGUCCUUGGCGAGGACCUUGGGAUUUAUUUUUAGGCCAAAAAGGAAGUUGGUGAAACACAAAAUGUGUUGCUUUAGUUUUGCACUGUCACGCAUGUGGUGACCGAUGGGGAACACACUCGUGGUCUAGGGAUUAAUCACUGCUCUGGAGUUAAUUACAAGUGUAAAAAUACAGGUCAAAUUGGAGCUUUGUUUUAUGGCAGUAGAAAUCCAGAGAGACUGAGAUGUCUACAGAGGUAUCGGUUCUACAGGAACGAGCUUGGACUGGACCCCAGCGCUCAGAUUGCUCCUAAAUGUGGCUCAGCCCCAUCCCUAUGCAAAAGCACCUCAACAACAAGCACAAGCAGGAGAAGACAGGCUGAGGGAGCCCUGACUCAACAGAGCCCUGUUUCAACUCAGUGUUUGCUUUGAGGCUUCGCUCAAUCCACUAAAAUCUGCCUAAUUCCCCCCAUAAUAAACCCCCAUCGAUCCCUGCAGAAGUGCGCAGCGACCAAGCAGAGGGGAAGCACAGAACCAUCCCUGCAGCAUCUCCCUCGUGCUGCCGAAUGAGGAGCAAAGCAUUAAACCUCUUUUUAUUGUCCUUUUCCUUUUAUCCCUCUGUCUGGAUUUCAUCACGGAGGGACCUACCCAGACAUGUUCCUCAGGAGUCUCCCAGCCCCAGUAGCCAUAGAAACCGGCUAUUUUUAGUCUGUUUUCAUGAUGCCAGUAAAUGACUUUUCUCUACUUUGGAGAGACAGAAGACCCCGUCAGCCUUGUGUGGUAAAUGAGCAUCUCCAGCAAGGCGGGCAUCCUCUCCCGUGCACAGACAAUAAACGUGGCAUUUGUAAAUAAGCACCUCUAUCUACGCACAGAGCAGAUUGCUUCCUCCAGUACUUCCUAUGCCAGAGUAGAUAUCUAUAAGGAUUUUUAGAGUAUGGAUUUUAUAGACGUUCAGAGAUCAGGGUUCUUUGGGUACAUGAUGAGCUUCCUCCUUUCCUUAGCCUCUUCUUCAAAAGAGCUCCUGAUCCAUGUUACCCGUGGUUGGCAAUGUGAUCAAUGAGGGUAAGAGCAAUACUCGGAGCAUAACUCGGCCCCACAGCAAUGCCUUUACUCUGGGAUCGCAGCAAGACUCACAGCCAGACGUGGAAAAAACACAUUUGUCUGGGGAAUUAUUUGGCUACACACUAAUGAGCAACCCGGGUAAUGCAGCAGGCUGGGAGCUGGGGCAGAGCAGCAUCGCCCUGGAGUGUUCUCUUAAACCAUCGUCUCCCGGGAUGUUCCCCCUUCCCAAAGGCCAGAUUCGGCCCAUGGGGACAAUUCCCCUGCCCUCCUCGGGGGUAUCAACGCUGGGGAUGCAGGAGCAUCCCUGUAUCCUCCAGGACCAGCAAACCUCUCAUCGCCAGCGGAGACGAUGGGCACGGUUUCCUUUUAAUGCCUGCCAGGUACGCUGGAGCUGUAAAUACCCCGAGCCCGACGGCUCCUGCGGGCACGGAUCUCGUUUACAAGGUUGUCCUAUAAAUUAUAGAUGCAAAUCAUGGCUGCGGUCUGCACCCAGAGACUCGCCUAUUGAUCUGUCUCCCGCUGGUUGCUGUUGGGACCGCCACAGCCCUGCGUAUGGAGGCAGCGGGCUGUAGAGGGUCAUUUGUCCGUCUGUCCAUCUGCACUUGGACCAAGCACUUUCCCUGUCCGAGCACGCAGGGGAGCAGCGAUGGGGCUGUUGUAAUAAAUCAGCUUGAUGAUA